rnacentral:misc_RNA from 1 species
GAACGCACAUUGCGCCUUCCGGUAGUCCGGGAGGCAUGCCUGUUCGAACGUCAUCAAACCCCUCAGUCUCUCUAUCUUUUGGUAUAUUGACUGGUUUUAUGCCAUGCAGUCAGCCUUGUGUUGGCUGCAGACAGCAAACCCAUUGAGCUGUAUCCAAGACUGGUGUUGUGUAGUAUUCAAAACACGUCGCAAUUUCAUAGUCAUGGACACUUGCCAUUGACCCCAUAAAAACAAGCGUUUGACUUCGGAUCAGGUAGGGAUACCCGCUGAACUUA